AUUGAACGCUGGCGGAAUGCUUUACACAUGCAAGUCGAACGGCAGCACGGGGGCAACCCUGGUGGCGAGUGGCGAACGGGUGAGUAAUACAUCGGAACGUGCCCAGUCGUGGGGGAUAACGUAGCGAAAGUUACGCUAAUACCGCAUACGAUCUACGGAUGAAAGCGGGGGACCGUAAGGCCUCGCGCGAUUGGAGCGGCCGAUGUCAGAUUAGGUAGUUGGGGAGGUAAAGGCUCACCAAGCCGACGAUCUGUAGCUGGGCUGAGAGGACGACGAGCCACACGGGGACUGAGCAACGGCCCAGACUCCGACGGGAGGCAGCAGUGGGGAAUUUUGAACAAGGGGCGCAAGCCUGAUCCAGCCAUUCCGCGUGCAGGACGAAGGCCUUCGGGUUGUAAACUGCUUUUGUACGGAACGAAAAGGCUCUGGUUAAUACCUGGGGCUCAUGACGGUACCGUAAGAAUAAGCACCGGCUAACUACGUGCCAGCCGCCGCCGUAA
rnacentral:rRNA from 1 species